GUUGAUUAUCUGAAUAAAAUAUGUACCAUUUAAAUAAUGUGACUUGUUGUUUUUGCGUGAUUUGUUUCAUUUGUGUGUUAAAACAGGUAAAAGCUAAAAAUAGCUAUGAAUUCUCGGAAGUAGGCCACAGGUAAAUUCUAUUAAUAGCUACGAAUUCAUGCCGACUAUAAACUUCUACCUGUAAUCGUACUCGGAUCUAAUUUUCUACAUUUGUUUAUUUAUGAAAUCCAUUUCCAAUUUCAAGUAAUACAACUAUGUUUAUGAUUAUAAAAUUGUAAAAUUAAUUUUGCUUUUCUAUCUUAUCUGUCGUGGUUCAAAAUAAAAGGCUGAAUAUUAUGUAAAUUAGGAAAAUGGCGUACGUGUGUUACAUAAUUCUAUUUCACCUGGGACAUGCUAUUGACACACGAUUCCUUGUUUUUACACGGGACUUCUAUAUAUAUUUUAAUAAAUUGUUGAGAAAGAGGUACAUUUCAUUCAUAUUUAAUAAACAUUGAUGAACAUCACGCACAGUUUAUCAUUUUGUCGUGUCAUUGUUUGUGAAGUAAAUGAUAACGAUCACAUUUGGAUAAACACAUAACAAACACAUCUUGGGCAGAAUAUAAUAUCAAAUUCAUAAAAUAAACAAGACAAUAAGAAAAAAUAUGUUUUAUUUGACUAUGAAAGAUCGUUUUUAUUAAUAAAAUGAAACAUUUCUGUACUGAAGUUUUCUUAAACUUCGUAAUGGCGUAACUUCCGGCUUCAUUUCCUGUCAAAAAAAAUAUGAAAUUAUUUCAAAAUAUUCGAUUGUACAUGGUUUUCACACAUUUUCCAUGAAUAUUCCUAUCCAAUUAGCCGAUAUAUUCUAAUAACCGAUAUUCGAUUAUCCGAUGUAUUUUGACUGAAAUGUAUAGGGAAUGGUUCGGUGUUUUGAAAUAAUAUUAC
rnacentral:lncRNA from 1 species